UCACCUAUUUUCUUAUAUCUUUUCCUAGAUUAGAAAAUAUUAUCUUUAUUUUUAAUCCGUCAUAGUUUUCAUAUGUUUUUUCAUCUAUUGCGUAUUCUUGCUUAUUCAUUUAUAGAUUGUGUUGAAGUUUAUAUUCUAAGUUAUUUAUUUGUAUUAACAGAUAUAAAAUAGUCUUUCAUUGUGCUAUUAUAGAUUUGUGACAAAUUCCUGCAAAUAUAUUACUGUUAAGUCUACUUUGCCUAUGUGCUAAUUCUUGUCUUUUUGCUAUAAUUAUUUCAUUAAGUUUUUGUCUAUAUUCGUUAUUCUCGUUAUUCAUUGUAAUUUUAAAUAUUGAAUAUAUUUAUAUUCUACUUUAGAUAUAUUAUCUAUUAAUUGAUUUAAUUUUUCGUUAUCAGUUUUUUGUGAUAUUAAGUUGUUUAUAUUCCGG
rnacentral:lncRNA from 1 species